rnacentral:lncRNA from 1 species
UCGGAUAGUCUCACCGCACUCUUGCCUUUUUCCGCUCAAGUUCGCCUCUCAAAGUUCUCCACGGACUACUUAGACGAAUCAGCUCCCGUUGGUCGUCGGCUUGCAAAAGUGGUGUUUGGCUGGGAUAAGGGAUUGAUGUCGGGAUAAUGGGUAGGAUAACAAACAAAAAUGAAGGAUUUAAGUGUGGCUGAAUGGCUUAUGGAGAGGAAAUGAUUCCGGGCAGAGAGCUAUUGUUGCAAUCAAACUUCACUUUUUUUUUCUUUUUUUUAUAUUUUCGUAACUUUUUUUUCAAUAUUCGAAUUUGCACUUGCAAAUAUAUAGAUAUUCCUUUUUUUUACAAAAUUUUUUUUGCUAAUACAAUCCCGAGGAUGCUAAAAAUGUCGAUACUUACUUCAAUUUAGCCAGCUCUGAC